UAAAAAAAUAUCAGUAAAAUAUGCUUUACUAAGGCAAAGCAUUAUAUGCUGAAGCAUAUCUCCAUAAGCUGACAAUUCAGUUUAUUCCAUUUAUUGGCAAAUUGAUGAUAUAGCAUAAUGCUAAAAUUGAGCUAUAAAUGGAUGUAUCUCUUGUAAUGCUAUAAUUAACAUUGAAGCUAGAAAACUAUCCUUAGAAGAGUAUAGUGUGUAAAAUGGCAUCACUCAAAGCUGAGAAACCAACUGAGAAAUCUGGUAGCUCUCAACCAUCAGGGCAAGUCAAGAAAGAGCCUGCUGCCAAAUCUAGUGGGACCACUCCCAAAGCUAGAGCUUCUAAGGUAGCACCAAAGAAAACUGAGCAGAAAUCUCAGCCUAAGAGGAAGGCUAGCAGUAAGCAGAAGAUAACAAGUGAAACUUAAAUAACUUGAAAAAAUAAUUGUUGGAACUUUGUAUUAUAAAUGUGAAGAAUCCAUAAGGUUACUGUUAUGGUUCAUGUUUCAUGAAUUUUAUCAGUAGUACUAUCUGUAUUGUACCACUUGCUUAUGUUGUCACAUUAGUAUUCCAUGCCAGUUUUUGGCCUUUUAAAUAAAAUAUAUUGAUGGUGAGAAAA